rnacentral:rRNA from 1 species
AACGUAGGAGGCGAGCGUUAUCCGGAUUUACUGGGCGUAAAGCGCACGCAGGCGGCUUGGUGAGUCGGACGUGAAAGCUCCUGGCUUAACUGGGAGAGGUCGUUCGAUACUGCCGGGCUUGAGGUUGGGAGAGGGGUGUGGAAUUCCCGGUGUAGUGGUGGAAUGCGUAGAGAUCGGGAGGAACACCAGUGGCGAAGGCGGCACCCUGGCCCACACCUGACGCUGAGGUGCGAAAGCGUGGGUAGCAAACAGG